GAGUCCUAGCAAGUCUUUGGAGAUGGGAGAGUAUGCAAGAAGGAAAAAUUCAUGAUUUAAUAUUCCUUCUUGCCUACUCCUCCCAUUCCAUCUGCUUUCUGCGACUC
rnacentral:pre_miRNA from 1 species